AGGAUGAACGCUGGCGGCGUGCCUAAUACAUGCAAGUCGAGCGAACGGACGAGAAGCUUGCUUCUCUGAUGUUAGCGGCGGACGGGUGAGUAACACGUGGAUAACCUACCUAUAAGACUGGGAUAACUUCGGGAAACCGGAGCUAAUACCGGAUAAUAUUUUGAACCGCAUGGUUCAAAAGUGAAAGACGGUCUUGCUGUCACUUAUAGAUGGAUCCGCGCUGCAUUAGCUAGUUGGUAAGGUAACGGCUUACCAAGGCAACGAUGCAUAGCCGACCUGAGAGGGUGAUCGGCCACACUGGAACUGAGACACGGUCCAGACUCCUACGGGAGGCAGCAGUAGGGAAUCUUCCGCAAUGGGCGAAAGCCUGACGGAGCAACGCCGCGUGAGUGAUGAAGGUCUUCGGAUCGUAAAACUCUGUUAUUAGGGAAGAACAUAUGUGUAAGUAACUGUGCACAUCUUGACGGUACCUAAUCAGAAAGCCACGGCUAACUACGUGCCAGCAGCCGCGGUAAUACGUAGGUGGCAAGCGUUAUCCGGAAUUAUUGGGCGUAAAGCGCGCGUAGGCGGUUUUUUA
rnacentral:rRNA from 1 species